UACGUAGGCGGCGAGCGUUGUCCGAAUUCACUGGGCGUAAAGCGCGCGUAGGCGGGUUCCUAAGUUGGUGGUGAAAUGCCGAGGCUCAACCUCGGAACUGCCUCCAAAACUGGGAGCCUUGAGGUAUGGAGAGGGAAGUGGAAUUCCUGGUGUAGCGGUGAAAUGCGUAGAUAUCAGGAGGAACACCUGUGGCGAAGGCGGCUUCCUGGCCAUAAUCUGACGCUGAGGUGCGAAAGCUAGGGGAGCGAACGGG
rnacentral:rRNA from 1 species